rnacentral:rRNA from 1 species
CUUGGCGGCCAUAGCGCAACGGACCCACCUGAAUCCAUGCCGAACUUAGAAGUGAAACGUUGUAGCGCCGAUGGUAGUGUGGGGCCUCCCCAUGUGAGAGUAGGGAACUGCCAGGC